rnacentral:rRNA from 1 species
UACGGAGGGGGCGAGCGUUAUUCGGAAUUAUUGGGCGUAAAGGGCGCGUAGGCGGCUCUAUAAGUCAAAGGUGAAAUCCCUCGGCUCAACUGAGGAACUGCCUUUGAAACUGUUGGCUUGAGGCCGGGAGAGGGUAGUGGAAUUCCCAGUGUAGCGGUGAAAUGCGUAGAUACUGGGAGGAACACCAGUGGCGAAGGCGGCUACCUGGACCGGUUCUGACGCUGAGGCGCGGAAAGCGUGGGGAGCGAACAGG